UGUCCUUAGUUACCAGCACGUUAUGGUGGGCGACUCUAAGGAGACUGCCGGUGACAACCGGAGGAAGGUGGGGAGUGACGUCAAGUCAUCAUGGCCCUUACGGCCUGGGCUACACACGUGCUACAAUGGUCGGUACAAAGGGUUGCCAAGCCGCGAGGUGGAGCUAAUCCCAUAAAACCGAUCGUAGUCCGGAUCGCAGUCUGCAACUCGACUGCGUGAAGUCGGAAUCGCUAGUAAUCGUGAAUCAGAAUGUCACGGUGAAUACGUUCCCGGGCCUU
rnacentral:rRNA from 1 species